rnacentral:rRNA from 1 species
GACGAACGCUGGCGGCGUGCCUAAUACAUGCAAGUCGAACGCGUCCUCGUUAAAAUAAGUUGGUGCUUGCAUUAACUUAUUUUAACAUCGGGACGAGUGGCGAACUGGUGAGUAACACGUGGAUAACCUGCCCUGAAGUAUGGGAUAACAUUUGGAAACAAGUGCUAAUACCGUAUAAUUAGUAAAAAUCGCAUGAUUUCUACUUGAAAGAUGGUUCUGCUAUCGCUUUAGGAUGGAUCCGCGGCGUAUUAGCUAGUUGGUGAGAUAAAAGCCCACCAAGGCAAUGAUACGUAGCCGACCUGAGAGGGUAAUCGGCCACAUUGGGACUGAGACACGGCCCAGACUCCUACGGGAGGCAGCAGUAGGGAAUCUUCCACAAUGGACGAAAGUCUGAUGGAGCAACGCCGCGUGAGUGAAGAAGGGUUUCGGCUCGUAAAACUCUGUUGUUAAAGAAGAACAAGUGUAAGAGUAACUGUUUACGCUUUGACGGUAUUUAACCAGAAAGCCACGGCUAACUACGUGCCAGCAGCCGCCGUAAAAC